AGGUUGGUCUUCAAAGCCCGGCCUUUCGGCGGCUGGACUCUCAGGAAGCGGUCUUAGAAGUUGGCGUGUCCGUGUUGGGUACAAACCCUCGGCUCCUCAGGGACAAGCUCCAGGUUUUGAGGGCCUUCCCGGCCGUGCCGGGGGUGUGGUUUAUGGUGAGAAAGUGUCUCAGCCUUUCUUACCUGCCCUGAAGUGGUUUCCCUGAUGGGGAGGAGCCGUUCUCCUAGUGUUUGGUUUGUUUUCCCCGGGGAAAGUGUUUCACAUGUAACUGUAAACUUGGUGUAUCCGUGGGAGUUCCUGCGUUCAGGCUCUUUUCCUUCGUGGACAUGUUGAACCGGAACCUCCGAACAGCUUAAGAACAAAAGGAACCAGAGCGUCUGAGUCAGCAGGCCAAGAGGAACCAAGCAGAGAUACCUGUUCGGAGAGCUCGGGAGGCAUUUCCAUAGGCUUAUUGUCAAGUGAAUGUUAAAGCCCCCAUUCACUGGGAAGCGAAGGAUUGUUUGGGGCCUUCUGCAUAUGAGAGCUAUUAAAAAGAUGAAAAAGUAGGACUGAAAUAUGAGGGGAGAAAUAGAGAAAACCGUGGUUUCCAGCCUCUUUUGUGGGAGAAUAAUUUAUUUGUUUGACAGAAAUGGGAUUAUUUUAAGAGAUUAACACAUGAAAUAAUGCCCCAAACUACAGAAUACUCAGAGGACUUGAAACACACAUAAAGUUCCACAUAGAGAAAAGCAGAUGGACUAGAUUGACAGCUUGAGAUGAAGUUUAAGAAGAUGAAGGAUCCUGGGCAUUGAGGAAGCAUGGCAAAUGAGAAGGCAAAUGAGAAGGAAACUGUGAGAAAAGGGAUUUUUCUCAUGUUUUUCCUUGGAGGGUGACGGAGAUCCUGCUAAAGGGGAAAAGUAAAGAACCUUUGCCCACCAUUCUCUGGAUUUGCUGUGUACAUGACUGUCUAAUAGUAACAUAUUUUCCACAAUUUCAAAUAUUAAAUAUAUAAUAAAAGCUGUAAAGGGAAGAUCAGGCUAUAUCGUGAAAAGGUAGAACUGAGGAAGAGAUUUUGCUAGGCUGAAGGAAGGAUACAAAAGGAAAGAACACAUUGCAAAGGCAAUAGAGAGGAGAGAAUUAAUGGAGUAGGAUACUAGAAGAGAGUAUUUAUGUAUUUUUGUGUAUGAGUGAGUGUGUGCACAUGCAUGUGCUGGGACCCGAAGGAAACAGAGAUUGGAUUAGGGCAAUAUUUUGGUUUAUAUUCAAUUCUUUGAACAAUACUCAGUUUUAUAGACUGUUCAUGUUUGAUAUCUCUGUGCACCUCUCCCAUGAACCAAUCGAGAAGUUGCUUUUUUUUGACAGUAGCAUUUUGUAGAUGCAGUUUGGUCUUAUAUUUCCACAAAUAAAAAACAAAACAAAUCGCACUUUAUAGCUCUGUGAACACUCAGAGAGAAAACUUUCUUAGGAUGAUACAUGGCAAAGAAAAGAAUGUUUCCUCUAUUUCAUGUAUAGAAAGCACAUUAAUAUUUUCCCUAGAUAUAGAACUGGUUAUAUAUGCCUUUGACUGUUCUUACUGCAGUGUACUGUAAACAUAGAAUACAUUUUAGGGGUGAAGACCAGUCAGAGGGGGAAAAGGAACAACUAAGCAAAAUGAAUCUGCAGGAUAUUUCUGUCCAGUUUUCAUAAUUCGCUGUUAUGUAGUUAGGACCUCAAGGAGCAAGGGCUACAUUUUCCUUUUUCAUUUUGAAACAAUCACAGCAUUAUUUAAUCAGGACAAAAAUUUUAUUUUACAAAAUCUUUAAGGAAGGAGGAGUAUUUCUUCAUGAUCUACCAAUGAAGUUUGAAUAGAAAUAAUAGGAAGCCUCUUCCCUACAUUGUCAUCAAAACAUCCAAAAGUUUUAUCCUGCCUGGAAAAUUCCUCACACAUGAUUCUGAUUUCUUAGCUUCAAACUGUGCCUGGGAGGAAUCUUUUGUUCUCGGUGCUGCCAAAACUUCCACCUUCCAGCAGUGACCUCAGUUUAGCACCUGCUCAUAAGAUGUGUUUGCACAUCGUUGGUACAUUAUGAUGACAUAUAUGUUCCCAUCAAGGAGACUGUCAUAGAAUCCAGAAGAUGUUAACAUUUUUCCAUCUGUGUGUGAAAGUGACGUUUCCUGUUAAUUUUGUUCUCUUGCUGAACUCUCCAAGCAAAAGCCUUCUGUGGGAGGCAGAAUGAUGUCAUUACAGUCAUAGCAUAAAUUUUUCAACCUUUAGAAUGAGACAUAUUGUGGCAUAUAUUUCACUACUUUUAAAAGCAGUAAAAUAAAAACUUGGAGGAUGAUGAUAUCAAUUUUGUAUGUUCAAGUGUGGGGGUUUCCAGAGCUUUGAGAAUGACUCCAGGGCUAAAAUUUCCUCUGGCACAUGAAUUUCCUCUGUCGCCUUAGGAGAGGCAAACCCAUUUAAGGAUGUUCAUGUUUAUGAGACCAACAGAAACUUGGCUAUUUAAUUUCAGACGUAUUGAGA